UACGUAGGGGGCAAGCGUUGUCCGGAAUUAUUGGGCGUAAAGAGCGCGUAGGCGGUCCGAUAAGUCGGCUGUGAAAGUCAGGGGCUCAACCCUUGGAAGCCGGCCGAUACUGUCGGACUAGAGUCCGGAAGAGGCGAGUGGAAUUCCCGGUGUAGCGGUGAAAUGCGCAGAUAUCGUAAGGAAGACCAGUGGCGAAGGCGGGUCUCUGGACAGUUCCUGACGCUGAAGCACGAAGGCCAGGGGAGCAAACGGG
rnacentral:rRNA from 1 species